UCUAGACAGUAGGAGGUGGUGAAGAGAAUUACUAGGUGGCGACUCAAUGAGUUGCCAGUUUGGAAUGAACGUAACUCAAGAAAUUCGAUGAGAAACAACUGGAGGGCAAGUCCUGGUGCCAGCAGCCGCGGUAAUUCCAGCUCCAGUAGUCUGCGCUAAAGUUGUUGCGUUUAAAACGCUCGUAGUUGGAUCACGCAGCUGUGCUUAGUAAUCUGAGUCGGCUGGCCACUCGACGCCGUUUCGACGAAAUCUUGUGCCACCGGUCAGAUGCAACGCUGAGCACUGCUAGUUGCACGUGAGAUGAAUUGUUGGCCUUGAAUGCGCCGGUAUUCUCGUCUUGCGGAGUGUGCCUUGAAUAAAACAGAGUGCUUAAAGCAGGUCAUUGCCUGAAUGUUAUAGCAUGGAACGAACAAUCGUGUAUUAGCGUGAGUCGCAGUUUGGUAGCGAGCCUCGGGUUUGUUGUCAGACUAGUCGCAC
rnacentral:rRNA from 1 species